CUCCACCACCACCAUACUACUACCACUCUCCUCCUCCUCCAGUCAAAUCACCACCGCCACCGUACUACUACCACUCCCCGCCUCCUCCGGUGAAAUCCCCACCACCACCAUAUUACUACCACUCACCACCUCCACCGGUGAAAUCUCCACCACCACCAUACUAUUACCACUCACCACCUCCUCCGGUGAAGUCUCCUCCACCACCAUACUACUAUCACUCUCCACCACCACCGGUGAAAUCUCCUCCUCCUUACUAUUAUCAUUCUCCACCUCCUCCGGUGAAAUCUCCUCCACCACCGUACUACUACCAUUCUCCACCUCCUCCAGUCAAGUCUCCACCACCACCGUACUACUAUCAUUCACCACCUCCUCCGGUGAAAUCUCCACCACCACCAUACUAUUACCACUCACCACCCCCACCUGUGAAAUCUCCUCCUCCACCAUACUACUAUCACUCACCUCCUCCUCCGGUGAAAUCUCCACCACCACCAUACUAUUACCAUUCACCACCCCCUCCAGUCAAAUCUCCUCCUCCACCAUACUACUACCACUCACCACCUCCUCCAGUGAAAUCUCCACCACCACCAUACUAUUACAACUCUCCACCACCACCGGUGAAAUCUCCUCCACCUCCAGUCUACAUCUACGCUUCUCCCCCACCUCCCACCCAUUACUAGGCUCAUCAAAUUCAACCAAAUUUCCCCAUUAUUCAAG
rnacentral:lncRNA from 1 species